AUGACCGUCCGCGUCAUCUGUCGUUCUUCUCCGGCAGCUGCGCCGGCGAGCGCCCCACCGAACCCGCUCUCUUCCUCGUCUCUUCGCUACCGAACCGCAGACAACAACAGCUUCCAUGGUUGUGUAGCUCGCCGCCGGCCUCCACAAGCUGAGCGCCAUCGGAUCUGGAGGAUCCGGGCCUCCCGCGCUUUCCCGUGUCCGUCCCCUGCCUCUCCGCUUCGCCAGAGUCCCUCGCGAGCCAGCGUCGUGAGCUCCAGCGCCGCAGCUCCUCUGUGUUUUAUCGAACAGAGGCGACGCCCGUAG
rnacentral:rRNA from 1 species